AGGGCGAACGCUGGCGGCGUGCUUAACACAUGCAAGUCGAGCGGUAAGGCCUUUCGGGGUACACGAGCGGCGAACGGGUGAGUAACACGUGGGUGACCUGCCCUCCACUCUGGGAUAAGCCUUGGAAACCGGAGCUAAUACCGGAUACGACUCAAGUAGGCAUCUACAUUGAGUGGAAAGUUUUUCGGUGAGGGAUGGACUCGCGGCCUAUCAGCUUGUUGGUGAGGUAAUGGCCCACCAAGGCGACGGACGGGUA
rnacentral:rRNA from 1 species